rnacentral:tRNA from 1 species
GGUGGCUGAGUGGUCGAAAGCGCUCCCCUGCUAAGGGAGUAAGGGUUAAAAGCCCUUCGAGGGUUCGAUCGCGAGAUGCCGCAGGCAUCG